rnacentral:ncRNA from 1 species
AAAGUUUUAUUUACGCUUAAAAUUUAAGUUUAUUAUUAUUGAAUAUGUAAAUAUUAAAUUAAAUAAAUGUAUUGCAGUUUUUAAUUUUAAAAAUUUAUUUAAGUAAGUUUUAGUAAUUAAUAAUAGAUUUAAUAUAAUUUGUGCCAGCAAUUGCGGUUAUACAAAUAAUUCAAUUUAAAAUUAUCGGUAAUUAAUUAGUUUUUAAUAAAAAUUUAUUAUUUAAAUUUUUAGGUGAAAUUAUAAUUUAAAUAUAAUUUUUUUAAAAUUUAUGAAGUUAUUAAAAUUAAUAUUAAACUAGGAUUAGAUACCCUAUUAUUUUAAUUGUAAAUUUAUAUAUCAGAUUAUUUAUAGUUAUAUUCUUAAAAAUUAAAGAAUUUGGCGGUAUUUUAGUCUAUUUAGAGGAACCUGUUCUAUAAUUGAUAAUACACAAUUAAAUUUACUUUUCUUAUACUUGUAUAUCGUUGUUUUAGAAUAUUUUAUAAGAAUAUAAAUUUUCAAUAAGUAAUUUAUAGAUUAUUUCAAAUCAAGGUGCAGAUUAUUGAAAAGAAAGAAAUGGGUUACAAUAAUUUUAUUUAUAGUUUAAAAUUUUUAAUAAUUUUAAUAAAUUGGAUUUAAUAGUAAUUUUUAAUAUAUAUUAAUUGUGAUUUUAGCUCUAAAAUAUGUACAUAUUGCCCGUCGCUCUCAUAAAUUUGAGAUAAGUCGUAACAUAGUAGAUUUACUGGAAAGUGUAUCUAGAAUUUU